UAGGGAAUCUUCGGCAAUGGGGGGAACCCUGACCGAGCAACGCCGCGUGAGUGAAGAAGGUUUUCGGAUCGUAAAGCUCUGUUGUUAAGGAAGAACGAGUGUGAGAAUGGAAAGUUCAUGCUGUGACGGUACUUAACCAGAAAGGGACGGCUAACUACGUGCCAGCAGCCGCGGUAAUCCGUAGGUCCCGAGCGUUGUCCGGAUUUAUUGGGCGUAAAGCGAGCGCAGGCGGUUAGAAAAGUCUGAAGUGAAAGGCAGUGGCUCAACCAUUGUAGGCUUUGGAAACUGUUUAACUUGAGUGCAGAAGGGGAGAGUGGAAUUCCAUGUGUAGCGGUGAAAUGCGUAGAUAUAUGGAGGAACACCGGUGGCGAAAGCGGCUCUCUGGUCUGUAACUGACGCUGAGGCUCGAAAGCGUGGGGAGCGAACAGG
rnacentral:rRNA from 2 species